GGCUUAACCUGGAAAUAAUUUUACUUCUUAGGCCAGAGGCUGCCAUGUUGGCUCAGCCGUCACCAGUUACGUGGAAAGAGAGCAUAGAGAAAGGAGGAGAAGGAGACAGGAGAUGAACACUGAAGCAGAGGAACAGAAACACCUAUGGAGGCAUCCAGAGAAAUGGUGGUAGGUGUGCACCCCCUGACACACUCAAACCACAAAAGGACAGAGAUAAGCACUCAGACUCACAGCAAGGGAUGGAGAGAUGAAGAGACAGGGACAGAGACAUGGAGCAGGACUUCCAGCAAAAUUGACCAGAAACCGUGGGACCUUCUUGUCAGCAGAACAUCUCGCUUGCUCCCACCCUGCCCUUGUCCAGGGCACACCCUGUCCUUGGCUUUGAGAGGCCUGGACAUGUCCCUUGAAUCUGUUCCCAGAGCAUGUUAGAAUCACA
rnacentral:lncRNA from 1 species